rnacentral:rRNA from 1 species
CCUACGGGCGGCAGCAGUGAGGAAUAUUGGUCAAUGGACGCAAGCCUGAACCAGCCAUGCCGCGUGAAGGAUGACGGCCCUAUGGGUUGUAAACUUCUUUUGUACGGGGGUAAAGCCCGAUACGUGUAUCGGGUUGAAAGUAUCGUACGAAUAAGGAUCGGCUAACUCCGUGCCAGCAGCCGCGGUAAUACGGAGGAUCCGAGCGUUAUCCGGAUUUAUUGGGUUUAAAGGGUGCGUAGGCGGUUUGAUAAGUUAGAGGUGAAAUGUCGGGGCUCAACCCCGAAACUGCCUCUAAUACUGUUGGACUAGAGUAUAGUAGAGGUAGGCGGAAUGUAUGGUGUAGCGGUGAAAUGCUUAGAGAUCAUACAGAACACCGAUUGCGAAGGCAGCCUACUAAACUAUAACUGACGUUGAGGCACGAAAGCGUGGGUAGCAAACAGGAUUAGAUACCCUUGUAGUC